rnacentral:misc_RNA from 1 species
GAUGAAGAACGUAGCGAAAUGCGAUAAGUAAUGUGAAUUGCAGAAUUCAGUGAAUCAUCGAAUCUUUGAACGCACAUUGCGCCCGCCAGUAUUCUGGCAGGCAUGCCUGUCCGAGCGUCAUUUCAACCCUCAAGCCCAUCUGGACUUGGUGUUGGGGAUCAGCUUUCCCUGUGGGAGCUGGCCCUUAAAUCUAGUGGCGGUCUCGCUGUAGCCUCCUCUGCGUAGUAGCAAUAUCUCGCAGGCGGAGAGCGGCUUACCACGCCGUUAAACCCCCAAUUUAUCAAGGUUGACCUCGGAUCAGGUAGGAAUACCCGCUGAACUUAAGCAUAUCAAUAAGCGGAGGA